rnacentral:lncRNA from 1 species
CUAGUUGAACCCAUUUGAUAGAGCCCCUUUGUUUACAAUAGAUUCUCUACUUAUCUAAAAGCUCUAGUAGGUGUUUCUCUAGGAUUUUAUGAAAGUUCCAUUCAGGUAGACGCAGGUCUCUAUACUUUGACAUUACUUCCAGUAGCAGCAAAGUGUUUUUGACAUUAGAUAUUACUGUCUUUAGACUCUGAAGUGAUCUCUGCCAUUCUCUUAGAUUUUUCCUCAGGCUUUUCAGCUUGGCCGAGAAGAGUUUAGCUGCAUCGAUUUGAACUUGGGGGG